UUCUCUCUCUGGCUUUGAAGAUGACGACUCUGUCUCAUCCAUGUUGUAGUCAGGAUCAACAGAAGAACUGCCACUAUAAUUGCUCAUGAUUCCCUCGAAUUGAAUCGAUUCGAGUGGUAACCGUUGGUUGAGUAAACUCUCUGAAGUCGAGUGAAUGGUUGCAGAGGUCGAGUACUUCUUCGGUGAAGCUUAGAGGUCGAGUGACAUGGGAAAUGAACUGGUGACGGCGGCGCGGAGGUUGAGUGCUUUUUGGUGGUCGAGUGAAUCGUUGAAAUCGGCUGAGGCGGCGGAGGUCGAGUGCGGCUUGGGAUUAUGUGGUCGAGUAGAUUGUCUUGAUCGAGUGGUGGAAAACAGAAGAGAGUAUGGUCGAGUGAAAUUUCAAAAGGAGUGGAUGAGAUUGAGUUUUGAGAUUCUGUCUCCAACUUAUCCUCAGCGCGUGGUCCACACUCUAUUGACUGGGAAAACUGCAGGAAAUCUACUGUAAACUUGAUAAACUCCCUAUAAAACUCUGUAGCUUCUGUUGGUCGAGUAAAAUGAUGAUUUAAAAGUUUUUGGGU
rnacentral:sRNA from 1 species